rnacentral:misc_RNA from 1 species
GGAUUGAGAAGUGUUAGUUGAGUUAUUUUGCAGGUUGCGUAGGUCCUAAGUAUAUAGGAAACUCUGUUGAAUUUUAGGCAUAAAUUUAGGGUGUCUUUGACUCUCUAGUUCCUUUUUUUAUUUAUUAUUGAUAAACUUCUUAAAUAUAAUUGUUAGGUGAUCCGAGUCAGCUUUGUUCUUCUUCUCAGCCACCCUAGUGACACUUGGAUAAUUUG